UUACGACCACACCACGUUGAAGCACCGGUCCCCAUAAGAUCACUGACGUUAAGCAACGUCGAGCGUGAUCAGUACCCAGACGGGUGACCGCUUGGGAAUACCAGGUGCUCU